rnacentral:rRNA from 1 species
UACGAAGGGGGCUAGCGUUGCUCGGAAUCACUGGGCGUAAAGGGUGCGUAGGCGGGUCUUUAAGUCAGGGGUGAAAUCCUGGAGCUCAACUCCAGAACUGCCUUUGAUACUGAAGAUCUUGAGUUCGGGAGAGGUAAGUGGAACUGCGAGUGUAGAGGUGUAAAUUCGUAGAUAUUCGCAAGAACACCAGUGGCGAAGGCGGCUCACUGGCCCGAUACUGACGCUGAGGCACGAAAGCGUGGGGAGCAAACAGG